UUUAAAUGUAAAUAAUUAGCUGAAUAAUUAAUAGAUAUGACCUUCAAAGUUAAAUAAUUUGGCGGUAUUUUAGUCUUUUCAGAGGAACCUGUUCUAUAAAUGAUAAUCCACGAUGAAUUUGUCUUAAAUUAGAAAUUUUUAUAUCAUCGUUAUUAAAUAUUUUAUUAGAAAAUAAUAUUUAAAAAAUAAAAUUUUAUUAUAAUUCAGAUCAUGGUAUAGUUUAUAUUUAAGUAGUAAUGGGUUACUAAUGUUUAAAAAGUUGGAUUUUAAUUUUAAAAAUUUAAAAUAAAAAUGGAUUUGAAAGUAAUUAUUUUAUUUAAAAAUAAUGAUUUAGCUCUAAAAUAUGU
rnacentral:rRNA from 1 species